rnacentral:rRNA from 1 species
GGAUUAGAUACCCUGGUAGUCCACGCCGUAAACGAUGAGUGCUGGACGUUGGUGGGCUUGCCCGUCAGUGUCGUAGCUAACGCGAUAAGCACUCCGCCUGGGAAGUACGGCCGCAAGGUUAAAACUCAAAGGAAUUGACGGGGGCCCGCACAAGCGGUGGAGCAUGUGGUUUAAUUCGACGCAACGCGAAGAACCUUACCAGCCCUUGACAUGGUAGUCGUUGGGUCCAGAGAUGGACUCGUCGGUUCGGACGGACUACACACAGGUGCUGCAUGGCUGUCGUCAGCUCGUGCCG